rnacentral:rRNA from 1 species
CUGGACCUCGGAUCAGGCCAGGCUACCCGCUGAAUUUAAGCAUAUUAAUAAGCGGAGGAAAAGAAACUAACAAGGAUUCCCCCAGUAACGGCGAGCGAAGCGGGAACAGCUCAAAUUUGAAAUCUCCGGUGCUUGCACCGGCGAAUUGUAGUCUGUAGGGCCAGUUUCGCCCGAGACA